rnacentral:tRNA from 1 species
UCCUUGAUAGCUCAGAGGGUAAAGCAUCUGCCUACAAUGUGGGAGACCCAGGUUUGAUCCCUGGGUUGGGAA